UCUUCUUCUUUUUUCUUCUUUUCUUCUCCUUCGUUGCCCUCCCCACUUUUCUUCCCGUGAAAGGGUCAGACCCCCCCAUCGAAGCACAGGAGAGGGGAAGGGGCCUAGGGCCAGCAACGGUAUGGCCAAGGGCCAGCGGCGCCCGCGGCCAAGGGCUUGUGGCGACCGUAACCAAGGGCAAUGGCUGGGUAAAUCCUCUUGGUAUGUUUUUUUCCAUUUUCUUCUUCUUCUUCUUCUUUUUCUGCUUCUUCUUUUUCCUUAUCUCAGUGGCUCCUUUGCCGGAUCUGCGGCCGAGGGCCUGCGGCGAUCGCGGCCGAGGGCUUGCGGCGACUGCAGAUCGGCCACCGUUGCAAGAUGCCUACUCAUGGAUAGGUCGGGCAUGGAGCUUGAGCGAUGGAGUCUUUAGUUAGUUAGUUUAUUCUCUGAUGCCAAACGAAUAGUUGAUUAUCUUAUAAAUGAAUCAGUUUGAUUAUUCGAAUAUGGUGGAUUUAUUAGUUGGAUUUUGUGGCUAUUAA